AAAGCCUGUUCGGUCAUAAGCUCUCUCUGCGGUGGGACUGCAAUAUCCUUCAGCCGAUGGAAGUCCUCUCGAUCAUCGAUCUCCACCCGACUGUUAUUGUUGGGAUCGAUUUUUGGAUCACCCCAGCGAGAAGGAAAGCUCCAAGGAAGAGAGGAAGAAAUAAAGAAAAACUGGUUCUUCCACCCAUGGAUGGAUGAUGGAAGAUCGAUAAUGAAAGAAAGAUCUUUUUGGGGGGUGAAGAACCACCAACCUCUAACCUUGGGAUGAGGUCAGAGGACAAAAGAAGCAUGAAAAAGG
rnacentral:lncRNA from 1 species